GAGGUGUGCAUCGAAGACUUUGAAUUGAGGGAGAAAGGCCAUUCGGGUUAACUUUGGCAGCUUCACCAUUCUCACACUCUCCAACUCUCUCUCUCUCUCUCUCUCUCUUCUCUCGAGUCGCGUUUCUUCAGCUAGACUUGGUGACUUUAGCUCAUGGUGGGUGAGGCAAGAACGAAGCCGAACUUCAGUUUGAUCUGACUCCCAGAUCCGAGUCUUCUUCUGCGUCGUUGUUGUGUGAGCAAUUGCUCCGAUUAAUGUUAAUGGACUGCUGCUUCCAUACGGAUCAGGAUUUGCUAUUCCAGUGCUUUGCUACUUACAUUGUUCAUCCUUUUCAAGUCUCGUAAAGACUCUUCCUUUGCUUGAAGCUUGAGCUAGCUAAUUUUGAUUAAUAAUAAAAAAGGCGGUGAUGGGUGGGCUUUGCUCUAGGAGUUCCUCUGUAAAUAACGCUCCUGCUGGAACCUUUCCACAUGCUAAUGGUCAUCUUAACAAUGGCUCUGCUGGUGAUCUCAGACACAAAGAUGGUGGUGAUCCUUCUCCGGUGAGGGAGGAGGACACUGUUGUUGACAAGCCCUCAUCAGAAUCGUUUUCGUUUCCCACUCUCAACAUAUCUUCUCUCGGAACUCAUCCUCAGAAUAUUGAGGACGGUAUUCCCCGUUUAUCAAGAGACCUAUCUCAGAAAUCAAGAUCCACUAAGUCUAGGCAAGCUGCUGUGGCAAAGGUUUCCGAAGUAAGCUCACUGUUAGGCAGGGCUGGCACUAUGGGACUUGGUAAAGCUGUGGAUGUAUUGGACACACUUGGGAGUAGCAUGACGAACCUGAAUCUAAAUGCUGGUUUUUCUUCUGCCACCACCAUUAAAGGGAAUAAGAUCUCAAUCUUGUCCUUCGAAGUUGCUAACACCAUUGUUAAAGGCGCCAAUCUUAUGCAUUCUCUGUCUAAAGAUAGCAUCACACAUUUGAAAGAGGCUGUGUUGCCUUCACAAGGUGUACAAAACCUAAUCUCUAAGGAUAUGGAUGAACUCUUGAGGAUUGCUGCUGCUGAUAAAAGAGAAGAGUUGAAGAUUUUUUCUGGAGAGGUGGUGCGUUUUGGGAAUCGUUGCAAGGACCCUCAGUACCACAACCUGGAUCGCUUCUUUGACAGGUUGGGCUCUGAAUUUACUCCCCAGAAACAAUUGAAACAGGAAGCAGAAACCAUAAUGCACCAGCUGAUGACUUUUGUUCAUUUCACAGCUGACUUGUAUCAUGAACUCCAUGCGCUGGAUAGGUUUGAACAAGACUACCAACGUAAGAUCCAGGAAGAAGAGAACCCAAGCACAGUACAACGAGGUGUGGGAGAUACCCUCGCUAUCUUGAGAACUGAAUUAAAGAGUCAGAAGAAGCAUGUAAGAAACCUAAAGAAAAAAUCUCUUUGGUCUAGGAUCUUAGAAGAGGUGAUGGAGAAACUAGUGGACGUUGUCCAUUUCUUGCAUUUGGAGAUUCACGAAGCCUUUGGUGGUGCAGAUUCUGAUAAGCCUGCAAAUGACCCACCAAUCAAUCAUAAAAAGUUGGGCUCUGCAGGUCUUGCCUUACAUUACGCAAACAUCAUAACUCAAAUUGAUACUCUUGUGUCCCGGUCUAGCACUAUGCCUUCGAGCACAAGAGAUGCUUUGUACCAAGGUUUACCCCCAAGUAUAAAAUCUGCUUUACGCUCCAGAAUACAGUCCUUCCAGGUUAAGGAAGAGCUCACUGUUCCUCAAAUAAAAGCCGAAAUGGAAAAAACGUUGCAGUGGCUUGUUCCUGUUGCUACAAACACAACCAAAGCGCACCACGGGUUUGGAUGGGUUGGGGAAUGGGCAAGUUCCGGGUCAGAUGUGAACCAGAGACCAGCAGGUCAGAGCAUACUAAGGAUAGAUACACUUCACCAUGCAGAUAAAGAAAAAACUGAGGCUUACAUAUUAGACCUGGUGGUAUGGCUGCAUCAUCUGGUUACCCAAGUGAGGGCAACUACUGGUUUUGGGCUAAGAUCUCCGGUGAAGUCUCCAAUCAGAUCACCUAAUCAGAAAACAAUCCAGCUCUCGAGCGGUUCACACAACAACCCAAGUAUGGGGUCUCCGUUGCUGACGAUGGAGGAUCAAGAGAUGCUUAGAGACGUGAGCAAGAGAAGGAAAACGCCAGGAAUCAGCAAGAGCCAAGAGUUUCAGACGGUGGCUAAAGCAAGGCUGUGUAAGCAUCACAGGCUGAGCAAAAGCAGUAGUCACUCGCCGAUGAUGGGGGAGAUGAUGAAGAAUAAGAAGGAUGCAUUCGCAAUGAGAAGGCCUUCAUCUGUGCCAAUCAUUGACUUUGAGAUAGAUCGCAUGAAAGCCCUGGAUGUGAUUGAUCGCGUGGACACCAUUCGGAGCUUGUAGCUAAACAAAUGAAACAAGCAUCCUCUCUUAUUCUCCCCCCCCCCCCAAGGAAAUUGAUCUCUAUGGGGAUACCCUUAAUAGCUGAAGAUCAGAAACGGCAGAGAGGUUAGUAACUCUGUACUAGUACUACAUUUUGGUUUUGGGGUUUGUGGGUGUAAUUUGGCUUUGGUUUCCUUUGUAUUGUGGUUCUAUUUUCUUGUUGUAUUUGUGUACAUACAAUAAAUAAUAAUAAUAAUGCUAUAAAAUGUUUUCGUGAUUGCUCA